CGACAAGCGGUGGAGCAUGUGGUUUAAUUCGAUCGAUACGCGAGGAACCUUACCUGGGCUCAAAUGUAUGUUGACGUAUUCUGAAAGGGAUACGUUCUUUCGGACAAUAUACAGGGUGCUGCAUGGUUGUCGUCAGCUCGUGUCGUGAGAUGUUGGGUUAAGUCCCGUAACGAGCGCAACCCUUGUCCUUAGUUACCAGCACGUUAUGGUGGGCACUCUAAGGAGACUGCCGGUGACAACCGGAGGAAGGUGGGGAUGACGUCAAGUCAUCAUGGCCCUUACGGCCUGGGCUACACACGUGCUACAAUGGUCGGUACAAAGGGUUGCCAAGCCGCGAGGUGGAGCUAAUCCCAUAAAACCGAUCGUAGUCCGGAUCGCAGUCUGCAACUCGACUGCGUGAAGUCGGAAUCGCUAGUAAUCGUGAAUCAGAAUGUCACGGUGAAUACGUUCCCGGGCCUU
rnacentral:rRNA from 1 species